UGAAUGUCUACCCGUGGCCCCGCCCUGCAGUAGGACCUAACGAGAGACAAGACCCAGAAUCUGCCUUUGAAGGAGGGGGCCAGUUCAGGAAUAUGGACUCUGUCGUCAGGACACAGAAGAGCCUUUGCAGGACUAAAUCGGGCCAGAUUGUCCCUUUAGCUGUGGUGUGGAGAAGGGGUCAGAGGUGUAGGCGGGAGCUCCGGAGACCCUGCUGGUCUCGGUGACACAGAUUCCGAAGGAGAAAGGGCAAAAGCCUUUCUCCAAGCCAGCAACCAGUCCUGUCACUUUUCUCUGACCUCCAAAUCCAUCCUUGGGAGCUAGUGGCCACGAUGGCCGCCAUCAACCCUGCCCAUCGACUCUUCCCUCACGCCCCCAGAGGGAUCGAAAUGUCAUCGGAGCGUGCUACUCCCUGGCCUCCCGU
rnacentral:lncRNA from 1 species